GUGCUUGCUUCAGCAGUACAUUUGACUAAAAUUGGAAUGAUACAGAGGAGAUUAACAUGGCCCCUGUGCAAAUUCAUGAAACAUUUUAUAUUUUU
ensembl:snRNA U6 U6 spliceosomal RNA